CCUACGGGUGGCAGCAGUGAGGAAUAUUGGUCAAUGGGAGAGAUCCUGAACCAGCCAAGCCGCGUGAGGGAAGACGGUCCUAUGGUUUGUAAACCUCUUUUGUCGGGGAGCAAAAGACGCCACGCGUGGCGUUCCGAGAGUACCCGAAGAAAAAGCAUCGGCUAACUCCGUGCCAGCAGCCGCGGUAAUACGGAGGAUGCGAGCGUUAUCCGGAUUUAUUGGGUUUAAAGGGUGCGCAGGCGGAAGAUCAAGUCAGCGGUAAAAUUGAGAGGCUCAACCUCUUCGAGCCGUUGAAACUGGGUUUCGUGAGUGAGUGAGAGGUAUGCGGAAUGCGUGGUGUAGCGGUGAAAUGCAUAGAUAUCACGCAGAACUCCGAUUGCGAAGGCAGCAUACCGGCGCUCAACUGACGCUCAUGCACGAAAGUGUGGGUAUCGAACAGGAUUAGAUACCCGUGUAGUC
rnacentral:rRNA from 1 species